AAAGAGAGGUUGAUCAUCUUUACGCACCCACUGGGCAGCCAUGAAAUGUAACCUUGAAAAUACAGGAGAAGGAAGCUACUGUCUCAGAGGAAAUCAUGGAAAGGACUCUUCCACAGACAGCCAUCUCCCCUUCCACUAAGCAGGCUGAGCCUAAAGGGGAGGGGUUGAGCCAGCAGAGUAUGCUCAAGGGUGAAGGGACCCUAUGGGAGCCAACAAGAUCACUGAUCUCAGAGCCCGACAUCACAGGCAGUGAGAUGAGAGGAGGAGAGAGAGGAGGAGCUGACUCUGCUCUCACAAGGACAGCAGCAUCCUGAGGAGAAGGAUGAGUGACACUGCCCUCCCUGACUCUGCCUGGGGCCCCACCCUGCUCUGCUGUGUCACUGUCUUUCUCCUGGGGACAGAACCCAUGGAGGCUGCAGUCACCCAAAACCCAAGAAACAAGGUGGCAGUAACAGGAGGAGAAGUAACACUGAACUGUCACCAGACUGAUAAUCAUGACUACAUGUACUGGUAUCGGCAGGACCCGGGGCAUGGACUGAGGCUGAUCCAUUAUUCAUACAUUGCUGGCAACACUGAGAAUGGAGAUAUACCAGAUGGGUACAAAGCCACCAGACCAAGGACGGAGGCCUUCUCCCUUGUUGUGGAGACGGCUUCACCCUCUCAGACAGCUGUGUACUUCUGUGCCAGCAGUUAUACACAGCAGCGAGUGGCUGACUCCUCUCUGCACAUAAUGUAAAUCAAGUUGCCUGUGUGCCUCAGGAAGUCUCUGCUUCUGUAAGAGUCACUGAGCUAUGACCAACAAGGACCAUUUCAGCAUGGGUCUCAGCCCAACUGAAGUCCAUUCUAACACCGUUUCAUGGCUGCUUGUGUCUUCUCCACCCCUUGUUUCUGCCUUCAGAGAGGAACUAGAAUCCUUAGUUGAAGUCCUGAUGACUCUUUUGGUAAGCUUACAACCAUCGACUCUCCAACAACUUUACUAUCCAUCUGAGUCACUAACAUGGUCUCUUUCCAAGCUGUGUUUACUCUGUAGGUCAGUAGACCCUUUGUUCUAUAGGACAAUCGUUUGCAAGGUCCUGCGUCAUAUUUUUCCCUCGUCUCUGUCAUCAGCCUUUUCCCCAGGUUCCUUCCUCUCCAGCUGAACUUGUCUGUGUCCCAUUACUUCCUCAUGCACUUUUCGCUGCUUUCAACCCCAGAGAUGGUUUCCUAGGCCAUUUCUUCUGCACAGAACAAUGGCCUUUCCCUAUUGUUAUGGAUCUCUUCUUUCCAUGAAAAAUCUAUUCCAGGUUGCAUUAUUUUUCUUUACCUUUUAAAGAUCUUCAUGUCAUUAUAUUAUUUCUUCCCUUACCUCUUCCUCUAGCCCUGCACACAAUUCUAUUUCCUUUCUAACUCGUGGCCUCUUAUUCUUUUUAACUAUAUACUUUUGGUUUGGUUUUUUUGGGGGGAUGUAGGGGGUGUAUGGUAUGAAUAAAAAUAUAAUUUCAACCUGUCAA